rnacentral:lncRNA from 1 species
GACACCUCCAGGUCUGUAGCUCAGUAACCACUAAAGAGCUUGGCUAUAAUCCUUUUCCCUGAAAGGCCUUGCCGGGAAGUGCCGAACAUCACCUGAAGGCAGCAGGAGGUAGAAGAGUGUGUGGAAAGGAGUUCUGUAUGCAGCUGAAGGGUAACACCCCUUGGGAGCUUUUGCCUUGUCUGGCUGACGCCUUGGCAAUCGCAAGUGACAGUGAUGGAGAGCCACCUCCUCUGGAAUGCAUCAUGGAACAGAAAGGGAAAAGCCAGGCAUUUGUAGUCCUCCUGCCACAGAUGACCAGAAUGACCUCACCCAGGACAAACGGCGACAGAUUUAGGAAUUCAAGCCAGAUUUUCUGACUCCCAGGCACCUGCUCUCUCCUUUCGAGUGUUCGACUCCACUCUCAGUCACUCGUCACUCCUCCCAGAAGGACAAAUGUGCAGCUUCUAUGUCUUGGAUUUCAAAUAAAAGACGAGGAACUUGGUGAAAUGAGGUGGUCUUUGCCUUCCGCGUCACUCUCUGCUCCUCCUGGCAAGAGGCCCCAUUUUUCUUGCCACUGAGGUUAAGUG